UACGUAGGGUCCGAGCGUUGUCCGGAUUUACUGGGCGUAAAGCGCGCGCAGGUGGUCCACUAAGCCCGGCGUGAAAGCCCCCGGCUCAACCGGGGAGAGUCGUCGGGGACUGGUGGACUUGAGGGCGGCAGGGGCUGGUGGAAUCCCCGGUGUAGUGGUGAAAUGCGUAGAGAUCGGGGGGAACACCCGUGGCGAAGGCGGCCAGCUGGGCCGACCCUGACACUGAGGCGCGAAGGCGUGGGGAGCGAACGGG
rnacentral:rRNA from 1 species